UACGUAGGGGGCGAGCGUUGUCCGGAAUUACUGGGCGUAAAGGGCGCGCAGGCGGCCGUGUAAGUCCGCUGUGAAAGACCGGGGCUCAACCCCGGGGUGUCAGCGGGGACUGCACGGCUGGAGUCCCGGAGGGGGAGGCGGAAUACCUGGUGUAGCGGUGGAAUGCGUAGAGAUCAGGUGGAACACCGAUGGCGAAGGCAGCCUCCUGGACGGUGACUGACGCUGAGACGCGAAAGCGUGGGAAGCAAACAGG
rnacentral:rRNA from 1 species